rnacentral:rRNA from 1 species
GGGGAUAACGUUUGGAAACGAACGCUAAUACCGCAUGAUAUUAUUGAGCUGCAUGGCUUGAUAAUCAAAGGAGCAAUCCGCUGAAAGAUGGGCUCGCGUCCGAUUAGGUAGUUGGCGGGGCAACGGCCCACCAAGCCGACGAUCGGUAGCCGGACUGAGAGGUUGAACGGCCACAUUGGGACUGAGACACGGCCCAGACUCCUACGGGAGGCAGCAGUGAGGGAUAUUGGUCAAUGGGGGAAACCCUGAACCAGCAACGCCGCGUGAGGGAAGACGGUUUUCGGAUUGUAAACCUCUGUCCUCUGUGAAGAUGAUGACGGUAGCAGAGGAGGAAGCUCCGGCUAACUACGUGCCAGCAGCCGCGGUAAUACGUAGGGAGCAAGCGUUGUCCGGAUUUACUGGGUGUAAAGGGUGCGUAGGCGGCUUUGCAAGUCAGAAGUGAAAUCCAUGGGCUUAACCCAUGAACUGUUUUUGAAACUGCAGAGCUUGAGUGGAGUAGAGGUAGGCGGAAUUCCCGGUGUAGCGGUGAAAUGCGUAGAGAUCGGGAGGAACACCAGUGGCGAAGGCGGCCUGCUGGGCUCUAACUGACGCUGAGGCACGAAAGCGUGGGUAGCAAACAGGAUUAGAUACCCUGGUAGUCCACGCUGUAAACGAUGAUUACUAGGUGUGGGUGGACUGACCCCAUCCGUGCCGGAG